UUCUACGCCUGAGUGGAACCACGCCAACUGUGGUAUCGAAUACCGGCCCAAAACCAUAGGUUUUCAACCUUCCGAAAACUAUAGUUAACUUGUCUUCGUUUCCUUGUUCCUCUCUAGGCGCUGCUUCCAGUCCAGCUCUACUUCAGCUGUUUCCUUGUCUGAUUCGAUUCCCAAGCCUCAAGAUCUGAAGAAAACCUCUGGAUUCCAUUCCAGCUGGCAGCUGCUAGCUCUCCUACCUCCAAGCCUCAAGCCUAGCGAACCCUGUCCACCCUCCAACAUGUCUCACCUCCAAGCUUGGCAUCUGAACUCCACUUCUGCAGUGAGUGUGCUGUUUCCAGAGAAACCCCACCACUGUACACUGACUGUUGGAUCAAGAAGGAAAAUUAUUCAAGGCAAAUCUCCGUGUUCAUCUUCAGACCCCACUUCGACCCCUCCUUGUAAGAUCUUCCAUCCAAACUCAUGGGUGUGUUUCCAGUCCCGGUUCCAGUUCACAUUCUCCAUCUGUGAAAAUAAAACUCCUUUAACUUUU